UAUCACCCUCAUUGUACCAAUAGGUAACAGAAUAAAAGGCCAAUUGUUCAGUUCCCUCUGCCCUACUAUUUAUACUCCAAAGACACUGCCCAGUUCUUAGAAGUCUAGCGUCAACAUGGAGCUCCAGUGUGGACAAGAGUGGGAAAGGAGAUGCAUAUCCAACAUAACAUCACUCAAAGCAAUUGGGACAGUGACAAAGGUGGCUGUUGACUAUAUCCACAAAAGAAACUCUCUAGGUCCAGUGGUCCCUAA